GCGCUUAGGAUGCUGGCAUAAUGGCUUUAAUCGACCCGUCUUGAAACACGGAGUAACGGCGAGUGAAGCGGCAACAGCUCAAAUUUGAAAUCUGGCCCUCUCAGGGUCCGAGUUGUAAUUUGGAGAGGAUGCUUCGGGUGUGGCCCCGGUCUAAGUUCCUUGGAACAGGACGUCACAGAGGGUGAGAAUCCCGUACGUGCCCGGUGGCCGCCCCCGUGUGAAGCUCCUUCGACGAGUCGAGUUGUUUGGGA
rnacentral:rRNA from 1 species